GAAACGUCGUCGUCCCUUUACUUUCUAGUGUGUGUGGUUUGGUCAACACUCAAGUUUACUCUCGCUAAAAUUACAGGCCGAAAAGGAACGUAGUAAUUCCUUAUCUGUUCUUUCAGAACACAUCAAGCAGUUCCUUCAAGACGAGUAUCACUCGUGUCCUUCCUAAGCCUUGAGGGGCCAAUAUCCUUCAUCUGGGAGUACGGAAAACAUGCAGGAAGGUCGUUCGAGAGCCGUGUUCCCAGCAAGACUGCACCCGACCACACACCACAGUCAUACUCCAGACACAACGAAUCAGACACAGCUAACUCUUGCUAUAACGAUCGAGCAUCGACUUUUGGAUAAUCUUCCCACCAGAGUGUGUGUGUGCAGACAGCUCUUUUUUUCCCCCUAGCGAACAUUAACAAAUCUCUGCUUGGCUCUCAACCUACUGACGCUCUCCUGAAUUCAAGAACUCAAGGUUACUGCAGCUUAGCCACUUGCUCGACACUUUGAUGUGGUGCGCCACGCCUCAAGAUGCCAAGUGUCUGGAGAGCCUAGACAAUAAGGUGGUAAAUUCUCCGCGAGCUGGCACUGCUCUCCAGCCUGGGAUGUUGAUUGGUUAGUCUUC